CUGAACGCCUCUAAGUCAGAAUCCAUGCCAGAACGCGGUGAUACCACCCGCACGUAUAGAUGGACAAGAAUAGGCUUCGGCUUAGCGUCUUAGCAGGCGAUUCUUCCACGGCGCUCGAAGCGCGUCGUGGUAUUUCGCGUAUUGUAAUUUCAACACGAGCGGGGUCAAAUCCUUUGCAGACGACUUAGCUGUGCGAAACGGUCCUGUAAGCAGUAGAGUAGCCUUGUUGUUACGAUCUGCUGAGGGUAAGCCGUCCUUCGCCUCGAUUUCCCCAAUGGGUUCUCCGGAUUUCUGGAGACUUGUAGGGGUUGUGGGUUUUUUCGAUGUGUCGUCUCCGGACGGGCGGUGCAGGGUAGUCGAGUUAGACUUGGUGGAAUUCGAUUCCGUCGAGUAUGGCUGGCACGAUCGUGUGCGGUUGUGUGUUGGACGGUGCAGGGUAGGCUGCUUGGACAUGGUCGGUUCGAGGAUCGAUUCGAGGGCCGGCCUGUCGAUGAUGUGUGAUGUAUGCGGUCUAGGGUAGGCUGGUUUGUCUUGGUCCAAUUUGAUGUCGGCUCCCGUGCAGGCUAGAGUGAGGGGGGUCCAGGGUAGGUACAGGGUAGGCAGCUUAGAUUUGGUCGAUCUGGAGGUCGAUUCUCCGGCUGGUGGAUCUGACCCUGUCGAAACGAGAUGCGAGCGGUGUAGGGUAGGCUAGUUUCGUCCUCGCCAGGUUGCGAUUUGGACGAGAUAUGUGGUCUAGGGUAGGCUCUAGGGUAAGUAGAAUUCGAGUUUCGUCGCCGACAGUUUUCUGUGGGUGUAUGGUAGGUACAGGGUAGGCAAAACUCUCUCCGGCCAGUACUUGUCUGGUGGUCGUGAGUCGAUUUUUUUGUUUUGCCAUACUAUUGAAUUUUGCGGAAAUUCAAAAGUGGCUCGGGAGUCCCGCCUGGCGUGCGUCCGACUCGAACAUCGUCGGUGUACAUAUGAGAGGGAGUAAUCCGGCCCGGCCGGGGCCCAUCGCGAGCUGCCGGGUAGGUAAAAGUAAAAAAGUUGUUAAGAGGCGCGGUGUCGGCGUGCUUGUAUUUGCGGGAGAGAAUUAUCUGGAGGUGCUGGGUAGCCGGGAAGACUUGGACGGAUCUGGCCCGGGAAUGGGUCUGGGCCUGGAUUCUGGUGUGGUGUAGGAUAGGCGUAGAUAGAUGAGUGGUCUAGGGUAGAUACAGGGUAGCCAGAAGUCUGGUAUAUAGUGUGGGGGGUGUAGGGGUAGGUCUGGACACCGUUUUCCACUUCGCCCUUCCCUUUACUCGAGGGAGGACGAUCUUGGCUGGGAUGGAGGUGUAGGGUAGGCUUAAUUUACGAUUACAUGAUCUGUGUCACUCUAGGGUAGGUGAAAAUCCCAUAUAUAUCUGAUCACAUUUGGAGAAGAGGUGGUUUGGCUGGUGAGAUGGACAAAAGUGCAAUGUAGAAUUAUAUGUGAUUUUGCAAAAGUGGGUGUGAAAUUGGGAAAUCGGUUUCCCCGCACAGAUGAGAGCACGUUUGAGGUGCCAUGAGAUGCACCUCUCCGAGACGACCUCAACGGUACCACCGAUGUGUUGGUCCGGCUCCUGUGCGGCCGUCCAGGGCGGGAUAUGUAGAGAAUGUGGUGGUGUAGGGUAGGUGGCCAGGUCCAGGGUAGGUUCUCCAAAUCCGUCAAUCCGGCUUGAAUCGAAGGACAGGUCUAGGGUAGGCCAGAGUCGGGUCUAGGGUAGGCAGCUCUCACCCUCGAAGUGGUCUACCCGGUAGUCAACUUCAAUCGCCUCUCACGGCCGCCACGGACCUCGCAUGACGACGGGACCACCACCAUCGGAUUUGCCUUGGUCGAAAUAGUCGGUAUAUCCACUUUUGCAAAAAUGCGUGCAAAAUGGUUUUGUGGUUUGGUGGUCGUGAGUCGAUUUUUUUGUUUUCCCAUACAAAUGAAUUUUGCGGAAAAUAAAAAGUGGCCCACGAAGCAGUUCUGGCGUGCGGCCCACUAAAACGGUCUCGGAGGGUAUAUGAGAAGGGAGCAAAUCCGGCCGAGCCUGAAAGGGUGAGGACAAACCGGGCGAGCAACCUCUCAGUAUCAGAUCUUGCAGACUUCCACUGCGUGUCCCUCUGUACAGCUUUGCAGGCUCCGGCCUCGGCAGCGGGGGGUUCAUAGUGGUCGUCGACCUCCACGAAACUGCACGCUCCGGCGUGACAGCGUACUGGGGAUGCCUGUGUAGAUGCAGUCCGGGCUUGCCUGGACCGCUAGCAGAUGGGCUCUGUGGAUGACUGGCCGCUGGCUAGACCUGAAACCUGAGCAACGGGAGGUAACCUCUCGCCGCGGACACCGGAAUGGUAGAAGCGGCGUGCUGCGUCCUCCUCUUGGGGCCCCUAAGCCACACCUCCCAUAGCGGGUUCGGUGCGGCGGACGGACGCCCUGGGGAAUUUAGAGGGGGAAAGCGGAUUGCCCUAGCGGUGUUGUUGGCCCUGCCGACCUCACUGCGAAAGGCGCGACUUCACCGUCGCCACCCAGUAACUUGUCUCUCCGGCGCUUCACGGCGCUGGUGGCCAACCCCGGCACACGAUAGUUACCUGGUUGAUUCUGCCAGUAGUCAUAUGCUUGUCUC
rnacentral:misc_RNA from 1 species